GCUGGGCAUGGUGGCGCAGCCUGUAGUCCCAACUACUCGGAGGCAGAGGCAGGAGAAUUGCUUGAACCUGGGAGGCGGAGGCUGCAGUGAGCUGAGAUCACGCCACUGCACUCUAGCCUAGGUGACAGAGCAAGACUCUGUCUCAA
rnacentral:sRNA from 1 species